rnacentral:lncRNA from 10 species
AGCUGACGAAGGCGCCGUCGCCGUUGCCCAGAGGGAAGGCGGGCUGCAGAGCCACGGGCCGGGCGUCGGAGCGGCAGAACUUGGGUGCCAAGCUGAGCACGUCGCCGCCGACCCCGCCGCUGCUGCUGCAUGACACGUACUCCAGAUCUGGGGACCCUUCACCUGCCUCUACUACUGCAAAUGAUUGGAUAUUCGUCUGACUUGGCUCUUCCCUAAUGUGUGGAACUAAUUUUGUUCACUCUGUUUCAUGCUGGACCUGGCCUGAAAAUGGGCCCUUAUAUUGUCUUUGCACUUUCCAACUUGCCAAGUUUCUGAAAGAAGGACCAAAGUAAUGCCAAGAACUCCCAGAUGAAGAGGACCUUCCUUAGACCUAUAACAGAUUCACUACUUGACUUCAGAGGGAAGUUUCAGCUAAUUCUCAGGAAAAGGUCAAAACAGGCCUGUGACUGUCCCUUGAAUACUGAAGGUAUAAACAAGCUUCUGGCUCCUCCAGGUCAAGCAGAGGAACACUUUUAUUAGAAUGAAGGGUUACUUCUUUGUUAUUCAAACACACACCCACACACAUCCUCUGUAGUCUCCCUAAUGAAAAACCUCAACAGAUGGAGAGCCUGAGCUCCCAAGUCCGCAGGCUGAGAAGAUGCACUUCACUCAAGGGCCAGUGGGCUGGUACAGACUAGGGAAGAGAAAAGGGACAAAGGCUGCUAGUAUAGGUAAUCACUAUCUUUUAAUACUCCUAACACAUAGAAAUUCGAAAAAUCUUGUUCAGCAAUGUUAGCAGCCUGUGAGCCUCGGAAACUAAUUUGGCUGAUGUGUCUCUGAUAGGGAGCUUGGGGCUGCACCAAGGGGAAACAUUCUCCUCCUGUAUUCUCUCCUCUCUCUCGUUUGAAAGCCUGUACAAAGAAAUGGUACAAAUGGAUGGUUAACUUAAUGAUUCCAUCAGAGGCAGAUUUUUCUCUGUCAGGUCCCUGGAUAAGGUGGAGGUCUGAAAGCCAGGAGACAGAAUAUGUACUUAAUCGCCCUUUCUGACCUGCUUACCAGUGACCAGGACUACUCUCCAGGCCUUUCUUCUGCCACUUCCCCAUUCUUCCUGGCUAGUUCAGUUGGGUCUCAGCACUUCAACUCCUGGCUGGAUCCUGAGUUUUUCUUGGUUGCAGGGAAAGCUCUCACUGUCUGCAUCUCCUUCCCCACCCCCACCUCCCGUUUUGCAGCUGGCCAUUCUGGCUGCCUCACAGCUAUCCUGCCUUAAUUCAUAUUUGAUUGCCUGGACAGAACCACCUAGAAUGUCCAGACGACUGCCACCCCUCAGCCAUGGGCCUGAGAUCCUGCCCUGACCCCUUUCUUCAGACCCCAGGAGGACCCACAAUCUCCCUGAUCCCCACCUUCCCCAAAGUAGUCUCUAGGAAAAAAGCAGAGCUGGCUAAGGCCUGAGACAGAGCCAUUUCUUCCCCUUGGGCAAACGAGGUAGACCCUCCCAGAGACCAAUGCCGGAGAGGCCCGGAUCCGAGCUCCCUUUAUAUGGCCUCCCCCAUCACGGAUCCCGUGGGAAAACCUGACACACAAUGGCGCGGCUGCUCCGGGCACCCUCAACCCAGCGCCCUGCGGCAAGGCCUGGAGCAGCCUGGUGGUCUUGGUGCGCUCCCUUUGCCCUCCCCGCAACCCUCUGCGAGCACUCGUCCCAGGAGAGAGACCCUGGCUAGGGUGGAGGUUGCCUCCCGCAAAGGGCGCUGUUGCUGGGGCCUCCCCUCCCCCAUUCUCUUGUUUUUCUGCUUCUGAGACUCGGGAGGGAGGCGGCAGGCGCCUCCGCAGCCGAUAGAGCAGCUAUUGUGACCUUCCCUUGCAGAGCGGGAACCCAGCCGAGUGUGUACCGCCGGCGGUGGCGGGGGAGGAGGCGACUGUGUGUGCAAACCUCAGUCGGAGAGGGGGUGGCGCUGGGAAAUAAAGGUUUGCAACCUCAGGCAGUUGGGCCCUUCAGAGGGCGUUUGGUUGUGUUUAGACUCGGUUGCUUUCUAACACUAAUUGCAGGCUCAAAAGGAGCGGAAUUUAUUGCGAAGGCCAAGGCGGCUUGUUUAUAAUUUAUGAAGUUUUAAAUGGCUGUGCCGCGGGCCCCAACUUUCUCCUGGGCUGGCAGCCGCGCGGAAACGCGCCCUCCCCCGGCUCGCCGCCCACCCCCACCCACGCCCCUCAGAUGAGUCUCACGCCAAUGGCAGGAACAGAUCCGAGCUAUUAGAAGUCUCGGGAACCUCCAGAGAUGACAGAAGGUGGCAGAUUUGGUCCAAGCCCUCACCCCACUCGAGAGGAGGGCGUCGGGGAAAGCUGUGGCUGCCUGGAGAGGGAGCCCCUGAUCCCACACUUCCUUGGAGCCUGAGUGUGAGAGGAAGCUAAUGUCAGCCGGGCUAGACACCGUUUAAAGUCUAAUCCAUGAAACCCUAAGCCGCAAAUGACACUUGGGGCUUUGCAGACACCCGCAGACUCAGCAGAUACUCCUGCGGUAACACACUGUGCUGGAAAACGCCUGGAGCCAUGACACAUUACGUAUUUUUAUUAUUAUUUAUGGUAGGAAGAGGAGAUGAGGGAAAAUCGGGCUGAAUCUAAGCAGCCUGACAAUUCAGCUAGUUAAUAUUUAGCCAGUUAAGAAAGGUGGUUGUAAUCCCUGCAAGGCAGUGAGCUCUCCUUUGAUUUCUCUAAUAGCUUAAAAAAUAAUUUCUUACAAGACAAUUAGAAAUUCUGCCUAUGGAUGCAAAUUUCAUAGAAAACAAUGUUAAGCCUUGAAAGUGGGUAAAAUGUGCCUUCGAUUGAAGUCAUUUAUUCUGUUGAUACACUUCUACAACAUAUAUAUUUUAAACCUGCUCAGAUAAAGUGAAAUUUAGCAAAAGGAUAUCCCCUCCCACCCCCAAAUCUAACAUGCCAUUUUAAAAACAGCACAAAGGAACAAGGAAACUAAAUAUUAUUUUGAGCCAUCAUUACUUAGUGAAAUACAAACAUCCAAAUAGAAACGAUUGUUGUUCCACCAGAAGAUUAGAAGUUAAAUUAUUUCCACACAAUAGGAAUUUCACUUCGUGUCAUCGGGGAUGUAGUAGGAGUUGCAUUAUUUGUCAAACCAAAUAGAGAUGCGUGGGCUGACUUUGCUGAAAUACAAAAGAAUUGAACCUUAUCUGAAGGCGUUUUCUAAGUGGCCCCUCCCAUAGAAGCCGGGAAGUUGUCCACCCCUAGCAGAAGCCACAUUAAUAUUUACAAAAUGGUUAUAAAUCCUUGAAGACAUUUUUGCCCAUUUUGUAUAAGAAACAGGAGUAAACAAGGUGUUUAUACUUGUUAUGUUUCAUUAAUGAAAUAUUAUUACUUUACAUCUUGGGGAAUGUUUGUUUUCUUUAGAAAUGAACUAAUGAUCACUACAAAGGAAGAAUUCAUGACAGCAUUUCCUAGAGAAAAAGCUUAGGUACGCGUCUCCAAAUGAUGGUUUCUUUUUCUACACCUUAGCUUUUUCAUAGCUCAAUUCUUCUUACAACUUCUCUUGUGUUUUUUCUUUGAUUGUCAGUUUUCUUUCAAAGUUUAUUUUUUGUUACUUAAUGCAGAAAAGUGAGCUCUGGUCUCCCCAGUGUAAAAGUCGAUUGUGUCUAGAAAGAAGGCAGUAAAAACAGCAAAGCAGGCGCUGCUUUCAAAAAGCCCUGCCCAAAUCAUCCCGCCCAGAACCUUCUUAGGUUUGCAUCCUCAUUUCCCCCUCCCCUAAUUUCAAUAGCUGGAAAGUAAUCAAGUAUCCCGAGAACCAAUUUAUGCACUAGACUCCAAAUAAAUAAAAUAUUUUUUUCAAAGUGUCA